rnacentral:lncRNA from 1 species
AUUGAAAUUCUUGAAUCUAAUAAGACAAAAGAUUUGUAAUGUACAGGUUCUAAAAUAAUAUUUAAUAUAAAACAAAGAGAGGAUUCUGAAGAGAGAAUAGGACUUUCAUUAGAUAUUCUAUAAGGUUCUAGCUGCACGUUGCCUAUUGUAGUUGGACAAACUUGUUUUUUGAUAUAUUAUUUUCUUUGAUAUUUAUACUCUUCAUUUUAUAAUUACAUCAUUUCUUUAGAAAAUAUUAAAUAAUAUGCUUAGGUUCUCCAUAAUAUAAGUAUAAUCUUUCUUGAUGGCAACGAGUCUUUUCUUAUUUAGUAAAAGGUUUGACUUGUACUACAUCAAAUUGUGUAUCUUUUAUUUUUGAAUAUAUGUGUUGAAGAGGCAACGAUGUUGCAAUUGAAUUAUAGUAACGUUGAAGCCCACUUAUUUGACUCUCAUAUCAAAAUUCAAAAAGUUGAUUGUCAUACUUCAUAGCAAAGUCAAUUGCUUAACUUAAUGUUUAAAGAUCAAGUAAGUUGAA